rnacentral:rRNA from 1 species
UAAGGAAUAUUGGACAAUGGGGGCAACCCUGAUCCAGCCAUCCCGCGUGCAGGAUGACGGCCCUAUGGGUUGUAAACUGCUUUUAGAUGGAAAGAAAGACACGAGUUUACUUGUGGUUGACGGUACCAUCAGAAUAAGCACCGGCUAACUCCGUGCCAGCAGCCGCGGUAAUACGGAGGGUGCAAGCGUUAUCCGGAAUCACUGGGUUUAAAGGGUGCGUAGGCGGGCAGAUAAGUCAGAGGUGAAAGGUUUCCGCUCAACGGGAAAAUUGCCUUUGAUACUGUUUGUCUUGAAUUAAGUUGAGGUUAGCGGAAUGUGACAUGUAGCGGUGAAAUGCAUAGAUAUGUCAUAGAACACCAAUUGCGUAGGCAGCUAGCUAGGCUUAUAUUGACGCUGAGGCACGAAAGCAUGGGGAGCGAACAGGAUUAGAUACCCCCGUAGUCC